rnacentral:rRNA from 1 species
GGAGCUAAUACAUGCAAGUCGAGCGGACAGAUGGGAGCUUGCUCCCUGAUGUUAGCGGCGGACGGGUGAGUAACACGUGGGUAACCUGCCUGUAAGACUGGGAUAACUCCGGGAAACCGGGGCUAAUACCGGAUGCUUGAUUGAACCGCAUGGUUCAAUUAUAAAAGGUGGCUUUUAGCUACCACUUACAGAUGGACCCGCGGCGCAUUAGCUAGUUGGUGAGGUAACGGCUCACCAAGGCAACGAUGCGUAGCCGACCUGAGAGGGUGAUCGGCCACACUGGGACUGAGACACGGCCCAGACUCCUACGGGAGGCAGCAGUAGGGAAUCUUCCGCAAUGGACGAAAGUCUGACGGAGCAACGCCGCGUGAGUGAUGAAGGUUUUCGGAUCGUAAAACUCUGUUGUUAGGGAAGAACAAGUACCGUUCGAAUAGGGCGGUACCUUGACGGUACCUAACCAGAAAGCCACGGCUAACUACGUGCCAGCAGCCGCGGUAAUACGUAGGUGGCAAGCGUUGUCCGGAAUUAUUGGGCGUAAAGCGCGCGCAGGCGGUUUCUUAAGUCUGAUGUGAAAGCCCCCGGCUCAACCGGGGAGGGUCAUUGGAAACUGGGGAACUUGAGUGCAGAAGAGGAGAGUGGAAUUCCACGUGUAGCGGUGAAAUGCGUAGAGAUGUGGAGGAACACCAGUGGCGAAGGCGACUCUCUGGUCUGUAACUGACGCUGAGGCGCGAAAGCGUGGGGAGCGAACAGGAUUAGAUACCCUGGUAGUCCACGCCGUAAACGAUGAGUGCUAAGUGUUAGAGGGUUUCCGCCCUUUAGUGCUGCAGCAAACGCAUUAAGCACUCCGCCUGGGGAGUACGGUCGCAAGACUGAAACUCAAAGGAAUUGACGGGGGCCCGCACAAGCGGUGGAGCAUGUGGUUUAAUUCGAAGCAACGCGAAGAACCUUACCAGGUCUUGACAUCCUCUGACAACCCUAGAGAUAGGGCUUCCCCUUCGGGGGCAAAAUGACAGGUGGUGCAUGGUUGCCGUCAGCUCGUGUCGUGAGAUGUUGGGUUAAGUCCCGCAACGAACGCAACCCUUGAUCUUAGUUGCCAGCAUUCAGUUGGGGACUCUAAGGGGACUGCCGGGGACAACCGG